rnacentral:rRNA from 1 species
UACGGAGGGUGCGAGCGUUGUCCGGAAUCACUGGGCGUAAAGAGCUCGUAGGCGGCCAGUUGCGUCUGCUGUGAAAUCCCGGGGCUCAACCCCGGGCGUGCAGUGGAUACGGGCUGGCUAGAGGCAGGCAGGGGAGAACGGAAUUCCCGGUGUAGCGGUGAAAUGCGCAGAUAUCGGGAGGAACACCGGUGGCGAAGGCGGUUCUCUGGGCCUUACCUGACGCUGAGGAGCGAAAGCGUGGGGAGCGAACAGG